GUACCUACGGGGCGCAGCAGUGAGGAAUAUUGGUCAAUGGGCGGAAGCCUGAACCAGCCAAGUCGCGUGAGGGAAGAAGGCCCUGCGGGUCGCAGACCUCUUUGGACGGGGAGCAAGGCCGCCGACGUGUCGGCGGAAGGAGAGUACCCGUAGAACAAGCAUCGGCUAACUCCGUGCCAGCAGCCGCGGUAAUACGGAGGAUGCGAGCGUUAUCCGGAUUUAUUGGGCGUAAAGCGAGUGCAGGCGGUUCAAUAA
rnacentral:rRNA from 1 species